rnacentral:rRNA from 1 species
AUUGAACGCUGGCGGCAGGCCUAACACAUGCAAGUCGAACGAGUGGCGGACGGGUGAGUAAUGUCUGGGACACUGCCCGAUGGAGGGGGAUAACUACUGGAAACGGUGGCUAAUACCGCAUACCAUCGGAUGUACCCAGAUGGGAUUAGCUAGUAGGUGGGGUAAAGGCUCACCUAGGCGACGAUCCCUAGCUGGUCUGAGAGGAUGACCAGCCACACUGGGACUGAGACACGGUCCAGACUCCUACGGGAGGCAGCAGUGGGGAAUAUUGCACAAUGGGCGCAAGCCUGAUGCAGCCAUGCCGCGUGUAUGAAGAAGGCCUUCGGGUUGUAAAGUACUUUCAGCGGGGAGGCGUUACCCGCAGAAGAAGCACCGGCUAACUCCGUGCCAGCAGCCGCGGUAAUUC